CCACAAAUAUUUUCUAAAAGGCCAGUUAUAUUCCUGAUGAAUGUUGUGCAGUAAGCAUGGCAUCCCAGCGCAGAAAAAUCAGAAGAAAAGUACUAGUUAUUUGGUUUUCUGACAUGAGGUGCAAAUUAAGUUUGUGAGUUUGGGGGAUUUGGAGAGCUCCCAUGAAGACUGUGACCAGUAAGUUUCUUUCUAGGCUGACAGUGCAAAGCCCUGCAGAGCAGCCUCAUUGCCAAGAUCAAAACAGCUUCUUGGAAUUGCACAAGGGCUUAAUCCUUCCCAUACAAUCUUGUCACAGUCUUCCCAAAAUCCUCAAAGGGACCAGGGAGGAUCACUGUUGUUCCUUUCAAGCCCCUAAAAAGAUGAAAACAUGCCACCUUAUUAAAGUAGCAGAAGCAGUUUCCUUACCUUUGAUGCUAUUCCACCAUCAAUGAGUUUCUCACAAAUGGAACACCCCAUCUCUACAGGAUAUAUAUAUAGCAA